GAUGAACGCUAGCGGCAGGCUUAAUACAUGCAAGUCGAGGGGUAGCAAGAUUGUAGCAAUACAAUUGUUGACGACCGGCAAACGGGUGCGGAACACGUACACAACCUUCCUACAAGUGGGGAAUAGCCCAGAGAAAUUUGGAUUAAUACCCCGUAACAUAGCGAUGUGGCAUCACAUUGCUAUUAUAGCUUCGGCGCUUGUUGAUGGGUGUGCGGCUGAUUAGAUAGUUGGCGGGGUAACGGCCCACCAAGUCUACGAUCAGUAGCUGAUGUGAGAGCCUGAUCAGCCACACGGGCACUGAGACGCGGGCCCGACUCCUACGGGAGGCAGCAGUAAGGAAUAUUGGACAAUGGACGCAAGUCUGAUCCAGCCAUGCCGCGUGAAGGAUUAAGGUCCUCUGGAUUGUAAACUUCUUUUAUAAGGGACGAAAAAAGGUCUUUCUAGAUCGUCUGACGGUACCUUAUGAAUAAGCACCGGCUAACUCCGUGCCAGCCGCCGCCGUAAUAC
rnacentral:rRNA from 1 species